rfam:Rhizobacter sp. Root404 contig_3, whole genome shotgun sequence.
UCGCUUCUCCGCAAAGUGGUCUAGCCGCGUCGCGGAAGGUUUUUCAACCCACACUCAGCGCCGGAAACCGGUGCGAAAGGUGAGCG